rnacentral:lncRNA from 1 species
CUGGCCGCCAUAGUGUUCGAGCACACCUUCAACCACAGCAGGGAGCCCCUGCCGCUGGCGGUGAGGACCCCACCCCACAAAGCCCCGCUCUCCCUCCCCCAAAACAAGCCUGGCCUGCAAAGGGGCUCUGCCAGGCUGGGAGGUGAUACCUGGCCUUGCUGAGGGGCCAGCGUCACUGUCACGGGCCCCUCGGAGGGCGCCCGGUGCCGUGCUAGCCUGGCGGGCUACACGGUGGAGGAAGCCUGAAGGAGGCAGUGCACUGCAGACUCUCAUCCCCCCGCGUCUCCAGGCCUCUGUGCACAGAUGGGGCGGGUGGGAAAGGAGCAGACACCUGGGACCUGCCCACCCCGGCAUUAGAAUUUCAGCUAUCUAUUUAAACAAACAAAAGGAAGUCCUUUGCCCGUCUGAUGGCAUUAAGACCCGGUUAAUUAAGACUGUCCAGUUCCCCGAGCAUUAUUUCUGCGGCCCUCCGCCGAUUAUCAGGGACGCCUCAGGUGCAGAGUUCCUGUAGGUAGAUAGCGAGACGGCGAGAACACUGCGGGGGCUCGGCUGCAAGGCCCCUGUCGCCACCCUGGGCAGGACCACUCGCUCUGAUGCUCCGGGACCCUGUGUCAUCGGUGAGGGGCAGGAGAGGUGGUGACUUCACGGCACCGAGCCCCCUGAUGGGUCUCUGGUUUGACGCGGAUGUGUGCCUCUGUGCCUGUCAAUCAGAGCAAGUGGCUUUAUCUUUGGUCCCACAGGUGAGAUACCACUUACGGUUCAGUUACACACGAAGAAAUUACAUGUGGACCCAGACAGGCUCCUUUUUCCUGAAAGAGACCGAAGGAUGGCACACCACUUCCCUUUUCCCACUGUUCCCAAACCCAGGACCAAGGGAACCCGCGUCCCCCGACGGCGGAGAACCUGGUGAGAAGCUCGGGCAGCAGCUGGAUCCCUCACUGGGCCACUGCCUGGUGAUCGCGGGGGUCCCACCUUGCUUGUCUUUGCAGAAAUACUCCUAAAGGAGCAUUUGAUCUUCUUCUGCGUAGAAGGAGGGAAGCUUCUGGGAAAACUGGGUUCUGAAAGGUUAAAAUACUCAGGAUGGCAAAGGCCCAGGGAACCCCUCUGGUUCCCAGGGGGCACAUGCUCUCGAAGGAAACCUCUGUGUUUCGGUCAGUUUGCAUCCGAUCUGUGGGCUUGGUUUCAUACCUCCCUUCUCUCCCUGGCUUCCACUGUGUCCAGGCUAAUGGGCUUUGUAAGCCGUGUGGUCCUUGAGUAGUUGUCCAGGGUUAAAUUGCAUCCGUGGGGCGCUUGCAGAAACUGGAUCUUGGCCAGUUGUACCCUGUCUUUGCGUGUGUCGGUCUGUCCCGUGUGACCUUGGUGGGCAGUCGACCUGUUGGUCUCCUCGCAAGCACGGUUGUGUUCUAGAAUGGAGUGGAGCCAGGGGUAAGCGAGGAGUAGCUGGGACCCAUCCGUGGGUUUCAGGAGGCAGCCAGGGUGUUGCAGAGAACACAGGAUCCCACGGCCUGUAGGAGGCAGAGCGUGUUCGAGAUUUUGGUGGAAAGACCCAGGAAUGUCUCUAAACGAUGCACCGGGGGGGGGUAGGCACACCCACUGCCUGGGCCAGGACUGUUCUAUUUGUGGGGACACUUUCCUGAGGUUGGAAGCAACAGGAGAAAGACCAGCAAACCGCACCAGGUACAAACUUGAAAUUUGACAAAAAAGGAAAAGACGUAACACCAAUGACUCUGUUUUGUGUUUUGUUUCUCUUCCGAGAUUUUAUUUAGCUUCAAGUUAGUUAACAUGUAGUGUAGUAUUGAUUUCAGGAGUAGAACCCAGUGAUUCAUCUCUUACAUACGACACCCAGUGCCCAUCCCAACAAGUGCCGUUUUCAGUGCCCAUCACCCAUUUAGCCCCUCCCCCACCCACUUCCCUCCAGCAACCCCAGUUCGUUUUCUGUAUUUAAG